AGAGUUUGAUCCUGGCUCAGGAUGAACGCCGGCGGUGUGCCUAAUACAUGCAAGUCGUACGCGUUGGCCCAACUGAUUUGAAGUGCUUGCACGGAUCUGACGUUGGUUUACCAACGAGUGGCGGACGGGUGAGUAACACGUAGGUAACCUGCCCAGAAGCGGGGGACAACACUUGGAAACAGGUGCUAAUACCGCAUAACAAUUCAAAUCGCAUGAUUUGAAUUUGAAAGAUGGUUUCGGCUAUCACUUCUGGAUGGACCUGCGGCGCAUUAGCUUGUUGGUGGGGUAACGGCCUACCAAGGCAGUGAUGCGUAGCCGAGUUGAGAGACUGAUCGGCCACAAUGGGACUGAGACACGGCCCAUACUCCUACGGGAGGCAGCAGUAGGGAAUCUUCCACAAUGGGCGCAAGCCUGAUGGAGCAACACCGCGUGAGUGAAGAAGGUUUUCGGAUCGUAAAGCUCUGUUGUUGAAGAAGAACGUGCAUGAGAGUAACUGUUCAUGCAGUGACGGUAUUCAACCAGAAAGUCACGGCUAACUACGUGCCAGCAGCCGCGGUAAUACGUAGGUGGCAAGCGUUAUCCGGAUUUAUUGGGCGUAAAGAGAGUGCAGGCGGUUUCUUAAGUCUGAUGUAAAAGCCUUCGGCUCAACCGAAGAAGUGCAUCGGAAACUGGGAAACUUGAGUACAGAAGAGGGCAGUGGAACUCCAUGUGUAGCGGUGGAAUGCGUAGAUAUAUGGAAGAACACCAGUGGCGAAGGCGGCUGCCUGGUCUGUAACUGACGCUGAGACUCGAAAGCAUGGGUAGCGAACAGGAUUAGAUACCCUGGUAGUCCAUGCCGUAAACGAUGAGUGCUAGGUGUUGGAGGGUUUCCGCCCUUCAGUGCCGGAGCUAACGCAUUAAGCACUCCGCCUGAGGAGUACGACCGCAAGGUUGAAACUCAAAGGAAUUGACGGGGGCCCGCACAAGCGGUGGAGCAUGUGGUUUAAUUCGAAGCUACGCGAAGAACCUUACCAGGUCUUGACAUCUUGCGCCAACCCUAGAGAUAGGGCGUUUCCUUCGGGAACGCAAUGACAGGUGGUGCAUGGUCGUCGUCAGCUCGUGUCGUGAGAUGUUGGGUUAAGUCCCGCAACGAGCGCAACCCUUAUUACUAGUUGCCAGCAUUAAGUUGGGCACUCUAGUGAGACUGCCGGUGACAAACCGGAGGAAGGUGGGGACGACGUCAGAUCAUCAUGCCCCUUAUGACCUGGGCUACACACGUGCUACAAUGGACGGUACAACGAGCAGCGAACUCGCGAGGGCAAGCAAAUCUCUUAAAACCGUUCUCAGUUCGGAUUGCAGGCUGCAACUCGCCUGCAUGAAGUCGGAAUCGCUAGUAAUCGCGAAUCAGCAUGUCGCGGUGAAUACGUUCCCGGGCCUUGCACACACCGCCCGUCA
rnacentral:rRNA from 1 species